rnacentral:rRNA from 1 species
GAAUCAACGCUGGCGGCGUGCCUCAGACAUGCAAGUCGAACGAUUAAAGCUCUCUUCGGAGAGUGUAUAGAGUGGCGCACGGGUGAGUAACACGUAAGUAAUCUACCCUCGAGUGGGGAAUAACGUCCGGGAACGGACGCUAAUACCGCAUAAUGCAGCGGCACCGCAAGGUGACAGUUAGUUAAAGGAGAAAUUCGCUUGAGGAGGAGCUUGCGGCAGAUUAGCUUGUUGGUAAGGUAACGGCUUACCAAGGCUACGAUCUGUAACCGGUCUUAGAGGACGGUCGGUCACACUGACACUGAAUAACGGGUCAGACUCCUACGGGAGGCAGCAGUCGGGAAUUUUGGGCAAUGGGACGAAAGCCUGACCCAGCAACGCCGCGUGAAGGAUG